AACGCAAUGCCCCCCCUCCCCCUUUUACGCUGCCUGUAUCCACUCGUCUCCCUUCAAAUGCUGAUGGCAGGCAAUAUCAGGGCCUGUUCUGGAACACGCCAGACUCAUUCCAAGAAACAGGUCAAAAAUAUACAAUUACCAAUGGCCAUCCAGACAAAAGCUGACGAGAUCACGACAUGACCUCGUGGGCAAACACACGACGAAUGAGUGGACACUCACAGUAACCUCAAAGCGGUGACAGGGACAGCGUUUGUGUUAUGUGCACGUGCAGAAACUCAACAAGAGCAGCCCAGUGUAAACACCAAAAGCCAAAGAUCCGGAGAGAUGCUUCAGAUUUGAUCAAGAUUUGGAAGGGGCCAAUGGAUAACUGCUUGUCUGAAGUGGCCUCACCGGAUGCACUGACUGAGAUAGGACUAGGCAACAUCUGCGAAGAUAAAAAGAAGAGAUUGAUCAUGACAUUUUACUUGUGGUGCUUAUAAUGUUGGCACAAUUUGUAUUUUUGCAUGUCAAUUAACUCUUAAAAGUCUACUGCUUAGAUGAUGCAUCAUAUUUUAAUGUUAAUUUUCGCUUGUUUUUUACCAUUAAACGGACUACAUAUCUACUCGCCAGUAUUACAACUGUGUCUGCACAUACGAUAAAUAUCUCCAUUCUUGUUUUUAAACUUUGGUGGGUAAUACAUGCUUGUAGAUUGAAUCCUAUCUUUUUCAAUGCUAAAAAUGAUAAUGAUUUCAUACUAUUUUUAAUUAAUUUACUUCGAUGAAGCAGCGAAAGGCCUACGGUUGUAAGAGUUAAUAUUUUUGGGCAUUGUUGAAGGUUAUAAAAUAUGUAGCAAGCUAAGUUUCUUUCUCUGUGCUGAAACUGCUAGUUCGUUUUAAUUAAUAUUGGCACUUUAGUAAUUUAGUUUCUAAUUGCUCACUUUUCAGGCUUUCGAAUUGAUUCUAAGGUGUCGAGGCCAUGUCUUGUAAAGCACAAUAUGUGAGGCAUCAUGGUGAAAUCAGGCGCUCGUCAAAAUAAUGAGUUCAAAUAAAUUGGCAUCUUUCUGACCGUUUGAGCAAAUUUUUUUCUAAUUUUCUUUUCUUGGCUUAACGCCUUUUAUAUCCUUUUAAAAACACAUUUCUGCGUGGAUUUUACUGAAAAACGAUGAUUAAAGGCACAAAAAGUGCACAUUUUCAGUUAAUAAGUAUUCUCAACCUAUAGAAGUCACCAAACUUUGGCGGCCAUUUUCUCGCUUAAUUUACCUCUGAAAUCAGGCGACUCAGAUUCUUUCAAUGGCAAAUAUUUCGGCUUCUAUUCAAUGUAGAUGGGCAUCUCUUUCAUUGAAAGAUAAACCAAUCAACACGCUUUAAGAUGACACCAACAACUCCACAGGCCCAAAAAUUGACGAGAGCCUGAUUCCACCGCGUCGUAUUAUUAUCACCAGCCAGCUGCUCAGACGUACAGAACCCAUAGUUUGGAAUUUUGCUUUAUUGCAAAUGCUUAAUCUGUGGUAUCGAUUGCAUGCAAUCAAGAAAUUUUGUCGAAACUCAAAUUCUAAAUGUAAAAAAAGAAAGGAAAGACAAAUAAAUCUACUUAAUGUAGAUACAAUUGUUUUUUGUUUUUUUUUAAAGAAGAAAAAUACGUUUUUCCCCCUCUCCCCUGAAAAUUUGUGCUUUCGGGGCUUAAUACAUUUGAAAAAAAAAAUUCGACGUUAGGCUGAUUUGUCUUGAUCACUGACCCCACUACAACAUUCUCUUAAAGAGGAGGCGUUUGUUUGUUUGUUCAUUUCCAUGAUUUGUUCCUUUUUGUGUAUUUUAUGAAUAAAGAAAGCUUGUGAUUGCGUUCAAACAUU